ACAAAUAAUAAUAAUACAUAAUAGUUGAUUGGAUUUCUAUAGCGCUUUUCUACCAAUUGAGGUGCUCAAAGCUCUUUACAUAGUAGGGUGAAACUCACCUUAUCCACCAUCAAUGUGUAGCGCCCACCUCAGUGAUGCACGGCGACCAUUUUUUUUGCCAGAACGCUCACCCCACGUCAGCUAUCAGGUGGAGAGGUGAGGAGUGAUAUAUGCCAAUUAGGAAUGAGGGAGAUGAUUAGUUGGCCAUGAUGGAAUGUGGCCAGGUUGGGAAUUUAGCCAAGACAUCGGUUGAACCCCCCUUUCCGUUUGACAUUUUCUGUGAAUGACCAAUGCAUUAUUCCGAUUAUGAUUAAACGGACCAUUAUGUUACGAAGCUAGUAGUUAAGACAGAAAUGUACGUUAUAGUCUCGUCCCAUCGCUGCAACUCCCGUACGGACUCGGGAGAGGCGAAGUUCGAGAGCCGUGCGUCCUCCAAAACAUGACCCAGCCAAGCUGCACCGCUUAUUGACGCAAUGCCCGCUUAACCCGGAAGUCAGCUGUACCAAUGUGUUGGAAGAACACCUGGCGCCGUGACAGCAUGCAUGCGCCUGGCCCGCCACAGGAGUCUCUAGAGUGCGAUGGGACAAGGAAAUCUCAGCCGGCCAAACCCUCUCCUAACCUGGAUGACGCUGUGCCAAUUGUGCACCACCUCAUGGGUCUCCCAGUCACUGCCAGCUGUGACACAGCCUGGGAUCGAACCUGGGUCUGUGGUGAUGCCUCAAGCCACUACACCACUCUCAAGACCUCUGCAUCACUCUGGAGGCCCCCGCAAAUUGAUUUGAACAAACAAUUGGUCCCCCAAAAAAUGUGUCCCUCCGUUGAAUUUAAAAAUCCAGAUGUGGCCCUCGAGCCAAAAAGUUUGCCCACUCCUGCCCUAGAGGUUUUGAAACUGAUUUAGCCUACUUGUCAUUCCAGAUCUGAAUAUUUGAUAUCCUUUUUACUGUACACUGUUAAUAGCUAAUCACUGAAUGUCCUACUACAAGGAUGUGGUCAGGAUGACACACUUCUGAGUCAAUAACACAGAACACACACACCACAGAUUGCGAGGGCAAGUACAAUGAGCAGUUGGGGAAAUUAAGUCUGCUGUGUGGUUGCCCGAUAUACACAAGCACACACUUAAAUUAGUUUAAUGUGUAGUCGAGGCUUUGCCAUUAAAAUAUUAUUGUGCCUAUCUUUCAGAUCUGACAACCAGACUUGGUGGGUGUUCCCACCAAACUGUUCCAGCCCUGGAGUGGCACGCUGGAACUUCCAGAGGCUUGUAGACCUGAAGCUGUGUGAUGUGGUCCAAAAAAUGAUCACACACAUGUCAACACACUCACUCAAUCGCUCACUCUGUUUUGUUGUGUCAUUCUUUUCACUUAAGAAAAUUGUGCCUCUCUCAUUUAGAUCUGACAACCCUAUUACAACCCCACAGCUGCAGUCGUCUGUCCCUGCAUCUGCUGCAGCGACUGGUGAUACAGAUCUGCCACCCUCAGCAUUUCAGCUGCAGUCACAGCAGUCCUCUGCUGUGGCAUUUAAUUUACCGCCUGCACCAGUUCCUACUACAGUAGCCGUGAAGGGAGAAACUUGUGAGGAUUCCCAGAUGGAUUCAGAUCUGCCAUGCACUCCACCACUGCCCGACAGCCUCACCCAGAAGUGCAUACACUGGGCCUAUCAAGACUGAUAAAGCAGAGAUGGUGGCUGACAAGGAAAAAUAAAACAUGCACACACUCUCUCUCUCUCUGUCACACACACACACACAUUAUCCCCAAUGUAAAGAAAUUGUAAUUACUUGUUUAUUUUAUGGAUGCUCCAGUUUAUUUUAGGAUGGGAGAUAUCUACGCCUGUCUGUCCAUUGUCAGUAUCUACAUAAUUACUCUAAAUAUCUAUCAAAUUCAAAUGUGAUAAUGUGGUAAUAUGUACAGUUUGAGGAAAUUCUGUGUGCUUUUCUUGGAGUUGAGAAACAUGCCUCACUCUCUCUCACACACACAUUAGACCCAAUGUAAAUACAUAGAUUUUUAUUUAUGCUCGAUUUUAUUUGAGGAUUGUGUGCAAUAAAGUACAUUGACAGUUAAAACAGUUUGGUUUAUAGGAUAUUUCUCUAAUUAAAAUGAAUGACUGCAGACCUGCAACCCUCUUGUGUCAUCUGGAGCUGAAACGGCCCCACAUAUGUACAUGGUUCCCAGGAGUUGUCCUGCAAAAAUAUUUAUGUACCAAGGCUACCCAUCCA
ensembl:lncRNA